ACCCAGGUCUUAAAUGGGUCACAAAGACAGAUAAAUUAGAUAACUGCAGAAAGUAAAUAAUGAAUAUAUAUUUUUAUUAUUUCUUUAAUUAUUCUGAAACAGUAUAAAUUAAUUAAUAGAAAAAAAGAAAACUCCCAAACAGUGUUUAAAAUGAAAAGGAAAUCGUUUUUAUUUAUUUUAGAUAAUAAAUGAAAUAAAACUUUUAGGCGCUAAACAGCAGCCAAUCAUAAUAAUCCUCUAAGAGACAGAGGCGGAGCCUGUUGGUUAGUGGACGUCAAUCCCUGGCUGUUUUACCCAGAAAGUUCUGCGGGAGGAGAAGAGACAGGUCAUGCAAGAAGUUCUCUGCUUAAAGUAUUAAAAAAAAUACUAGAAAACGCUAGAAUUCAGCGUUGUGGUUAGUGAGUAAAUCACUACCAAGCUGACCGCUGUUAGAGUUGAGGCUGCAGAGUGGAGAAAGGGGGAAAGGCUCACUUAUUGUGCCUCGUGAAACGUUGCCAGUUACACGCUCCGGUAAUCUCCAGGUGGAGGUAGAACCUGGUGUCCAUGUGCCCUGGGGUGGUGUGUGAAAACCUUGGAUAGGAUUCGGUGAGUUUAGAGUAUAUUUAAACAUGUUUUCUGACCAAAUUGCCGAAUAAAUAGAGGAAUAAAAUAGCGCUAAUUAGCCUAGCGGCUAACGCGUUUUGUUAUGCUAAGCUAGCCCAUUGAAUCUAGCCUGUGAUAAGCUAAUGCUAAGCUAAUUUAGCCUACGCUAAGCUAAUGUGUUGAAUUUAGCUUAUUAAGCUUAUGCUAAGCUAACCCUCGUGUAUAUAUUUCAAGCCUGAGGCUAUGCUAACGCUAUUGGUUAAGGUGUGAGAUGAGUUUAUCCACUUAUAAAUGUAAUUUUAUGGAACGGUGGAGAUUUAUUAAGCUGUAUUUUGGAUGUUUAAGACCUGUUUUGAAUGUAAUACUGUUAAAAGUAAUGUUUUUUACUGAGUUCGGUUAUGUAAGUGUAUAAAAAAAAAAAAGUUAAGAGUUAUGUGAAACUCAGACACUGUUUUAUGUAAACAGGCCAGUUUUUUUGUUGGGUGAAAUGGAUUGGAAAUGGAUCUUCCCGAACACUCCUCGUGUCGUUCAGCUGCACACGGCCGGUGCAGUGCGCGGUGCUAGGAUGGCGAGCCAAGCCCGAGGACCCAAGUGACUUCAUUACACUUCAUUCACAUUUUCAAACACUUGAUAGUGAACAUUAAAGAAAAUUUGUGGACUUUAAGAUUAUUUGAGUAAAAAGGACACUUUUAUUUUAUUUUAUUUUUUUUUGAAAGAAAGGACACUCUACAAAGAUACUGAAAAGGGUUAAAUUUUAAUUGGUUGGAUUACUGUUAUUUGAUUUUGAUAAUUUCUAAGUGGUUUUGAUAUUCAUUUAUUGUUUUUGCUACAGAGAAUUGUUAUUUUUUAUUUCUGGUUGUUUGUUAAAGGGUAUACUAUUGGUGUAAAAUAACCUAGAGGUUUAAUUGGAUAACAGUAAUUAUAAUAAUACUUACCUUUAAUCAAUAAUCCAUUAGACCUAGAAGAAAGAAAUAAUUAAUUAGUUAUAAAAUACCUAUAAAUAGAUUAAAAUAAUAAAAUAAUACUUACCUUAAACUGCAUAAAUACCUCUAAAAUAGAGAACACAGGUGAUUAGAGAAAUAAUAGUAAUUAAUAUAAUAUUAAAUAUACAAAUACUGAAAUACAAAGGGUAUACUUACCAUUUUCAUUGUUGACCAAGGUUAUUGAAGGGUGAAUUCUUUUGGAAACUGAGUAACUGAAUUGUUUUUUAUUUAUUUAUUUACAGAAUUUAUUUUGUUACAUUGUUUUAUUUACCUACUGGCAUUGAUUGACAUUUUAAUACACUUUAUUGCUGCACAAAUUCUGGUCUCAUUUCUUCCAUGUGUAUUGCUCCUAGAGCGAACCUAACUGGUCCUAGAACUAUCCUAAUUAUUUUAUCAAGUAACACUCAUUGUAGUGGUUGUGUAAUUGGGUCUAUAUAUCUGUGGUGCUACAGAACUUGGCGAGCCAGCCAGGAGUAAUAAAACUGGAAGCAGUGAGACCAAAUAAUUAGAACACACACCUAAAAACUAUAUAAAUAAGCUAAACAAAAUCUAGAUCUAAAAUAGCACUCAAAGUGUAUACUCACCAUGGAAAUUGUAGAACAGGAAGAAGUUAAUGUUGCUAACUCAGUUCUUGUUAGUGGGUUAACUGAGACAGAAACAGAUACAGAACUAACUGACUAUUUAGAGCAGCAUGGCUACAUUGCAAGGGUACUGCGUAUUGAUAACCCCACGUCAGCCUUUCACAAAAAUGCAAUAGUGGAGUUUAAAAGUUCUUUAGCUCUCAGUACUCUAAAACCCUUACUGCCAUAUACUUACCGUAGUUCAAGGCAAAAAGAUGUCUCCUACAAGAUAACUGCUUUGGCAAGCGUAUACAUGCCUUCAGCCACAAAAACUGAUGCAAACUGGUUCCUAGCCGAAUUCCAAAAGCUAGCAGCACAAAGCAGGAAGCCGUUAACAGAACUUCUACAAGAGCAACUCCUUCUGUGUCGUGAAACAAUGACAUGUCAAGAAGAUAACCAAACUGGCCGAAUCCAAGACAGUUCCAGUUCAUGGGAGGCAGAACCUACAAAUCAAGUGUCUUCAGCUUAUCCGCAGUCACCGACGAAUGCUCAGAGCUUCCCAGCGAUUAACUCAGAGAGACGAUCUGAACAUAAUGUGGUGCUCACACCAGAGGAAUUGAACCCUCCUGCUAUUCAACGCGUUGUUGUUGAACAUGUUGUAAGGAGUGGAGAAACUGCAGCACAUGCAAAUGCCCCAGUAAGGCUUAGAGUCUUUUCAGGGAAGAAACCCCAUCCUAAUAAUGAGGUUGACUAUGAGACAUGGAGAAACAACGUUGAACUACUGUUGCAAGACCCUGCAGUGUCAGACUUGUGUCGAUCCAGAAGAGUUCUUGAUAGUCUUUUGCCUCCAGCAGCUAAUCUAGUAAAGCAUCUGAGUCCACAGGCUACUCCAAGAGCUUAUCUAGACCUACUUGACUCAGCUUUCGCCACUGUUGAAGACGGUGAUGAGCUCUUCGCAAGAUUUCUGAAUACUCUACAGGAUGCUGGUGAAAAGCCGUCCGAAUACCUCCAAAGGCUCUACAUUGUUUUAAGUAAAGUGAUCAAACAAGGCAGUCUACCCACCAGUGAGAAGAACAGGCACCUGUUACGCCAGUUUUGUCGUGGAUGUUGGGAUAAUGGGUUACUUGCUGACCUCCAGCUGGAGCAGAAGAAGAAUAACCCACCCUCAUUUUCUGAGCUAUUGUUCCAUCUGCGUAUGGAAGAAGAUAAGCACAUUGCCAAAGAGAUGAGAAUGAAAAAGCAUCUUGGUAAUGCAAAGUUUCGUGCCAGCUCCCAUGCUGUCAGGGCUGAGACUUAUGUUAGCCAAGAAGAAGAAACCCUUAGUGCUGAGGUUGACAGCCUAAGAAAACAAGUCAAAGACUUGCAAGGGCAACUUAAAGUGUCAAAGCCAAAAUGCCCUGAGUACUCAGAAGGUGCUAUUUUAGAGCUGAGACAACAAGUAGCCCACCUGCAGAGUCAAGUUGCCAACAUGAUGGUUCCAGAGCCACAGAAACCCAUUGCAGUGCUGUCUGAAAUGAGAAACAAGAAAAGAGACAGAACAGUGACACAAGAAACACAGACCAGUGCUACCAAAGAGUCCAGUCAAAGGCCGAGACCAUGGUACUGUUUCUGCUGUGGAGAAGACGGACAUACUGCUGUAUCCUGUCCAGCUGAUCCCAACCCUUCCUUAGUGGCUGCUAAAAAGAAGCAGUUAAUUGAGAAGCAGCAUGCUUGGGACCGUGAACACAGUACAGUGAACCAGACAAUCUCACAGAGAACUAAGAACCCUAAUGUUACCAGGGCCAGUGUAAACAACCAAACUACUCAGACCAAAACAUAUGGUAACCUACCCAGAGGUCUAGUAGGGACCAAGUGUAUUUCUGAAGUGGUCAUUGAUGGACAGAAAUACAACUGCUUGCUUGACACAGGGUCACAGGUGACAACUGUUUCCAAAUCCUUUCAUGAGACACAUCAGCCAGCCCUGAGCUGUAAACCUAUUGGUGAUCUACUAGAAGUAGAAGCAGCUAAUGGACAGCCUGUUCCGUAUUCAGGUUAUGUAGAAUUGAACAUCACUUUUCCAAAAGAGUUUCUAGGUACAGCUGUGGAAGUUCCUACCUUAGCAUUAGUUGUUGCAGACAUCAGUGAAGCAGCACGACCCACCUUGCUGAUAGGAACCAAUACUUUGGAUGUCCUGUAUGAGAAACAUUUUGAGAAGAAUCAGUUGAAACAUCAGUCACCACAUCAUGGCUAUAAAAUGGUCCUGAAAACACUAGAAAUGAGACAUAAGCAAACUGAAAACUGCACAGUAGGCACGGUAAGGCUUCAUAGUAAUGCACCCAAAAUCAUUCCAGCAGGCCAGUGUUCUAUUUUAGAAGGAUCCGUGAACCACAGAGGUGCUGACCGAUGGGUUGUUCUGGAGUCACCCUCAACAGCUUCUCUUCCUGGUGGUCUCAUUGUGACCAACAGCCUGAUUAGUCUACCUGACAAGUUUCAUGCUAAGCUGCCUGUGGUACUGAGGAACGAGACAGACCAUGAUAUCACCCUAACCCCUAAUCGAGUCCUUGCUGAAUUGCAUGCACUGCAACAAAUCCUGCCCAGUGAUGCAUUGAAUAAAAACUCCAUUGACACCUCACCUAUGACAGCUUCUGCCAUAGAUGCAAGUAUCAAGUUUGACUUUGCUGAUUCACCUGUCCCAGCUGAGUGGAGAGAAAGGAUAGAGUGCAAACUGAGAGCUAUGCCUGAAGUCUUUGCUCACCACGACCUGGACUUUGGACACACAAACCAAGUGAAACAUCGCAUCAAGUUGUCUGAUGAAACUCCUUUCAAACAGCGAGCUAGACCAAUACAUCCUCAGGACUUUGAUGCAGUAAAAAGACAUCUAGAAGAGUUGUUAGAGUCUGGAGUAAUCAGAGAGUCUGAAUCCUCCUUUUCAUCCCCUAUUGUUGUAGUCAGGAAGAAGAACGGUGAAGUAAGACUCUGUGUAGAUUACCGGAAACUCAAUCUGCAAACUGUGAAAGAUGCAUAUGCCCUACCUCAUUUGGAGGAAACCUUUUCUGUGCUGACAGGAUCCAAAUGGUUCUCAGUUCUUGAUCUGAAGUCAGGGUAUUAUCAGAUUGAGCUAGAAGAAGCAGAUAAACAUAAAACAGCUUUUGUAUGCCCACUUGGAUUCUGGGAAUGGAAUCGUAUGCCGCAGGGGAUCACUAACGCCCCAAGUACAUUUCAAAGACUCAUGGAGAAGUGUAUGUCAGACCUCAACCUCCGAGAAGUCAUUGUCUUUCUGGACGACCUCAUUAUCUUCUCAGAAACCUUAGAAGAGCAUGAGGAGCGCCUUUUCAAAGUCCUCCAACGACUCAAGGAGUAUGGUCUCAAGCUAUCCCCUGAGAAAUGUAAAUUUUUCCAGAAGUCCGUCCGAUACCUUGGACACAUUGUAUCCAGUGAUGGAGUGAAAACUGACCCAGAGAAAAUUGCAGUCCUGAAGAACUGGCCGAGUCCCAAGAACCUCAAAGAACUCCGUUCCUUUUUAGGAUUUGCAGGGUACUAUCGAAGGUUCAUCAGAGACUUCUCGAAGAUAGUCAAACCGCUGAAUGAGCUAACUGCUGGAUAUGCUCCUAAGAGGAAAGGAUGUAAGCUGACCAAAAGUCAGAACCAGUACUACAAGCCAAAAGAACUGUUUGGGGACCGCUGGACGGAAAACUGUCAGGAAGCUUUUGACACUGUCAUCGCUAAACUCACUUCAGCCCCUGUCCUGGGAUUUGCCAACCCCAGUCUGCCAUACAUCUUGCACACCGACGCCAGCACCAUUGGCCUUGGAGCUGCCUUAUACCAGGAGCAGGACGGGCAUCAACGUGUAAUAGCAUAUGCCAGUCGUGGUCUUUCAAAAAGUGAAGCGCGAUACCCAGCGCAUAAGCUUGAAUUCUUGGCCCUCAAGUGGGCUGUAACAGACAAAUUUUCUGACUAUCUAUAUGGCAAUUCGUUCACAGUGAUAACUGACAGCAAUCCUCUGACAUACAUCCUCACUUCAGCGAAGUUGGAUGCUGCAAGCUACAGGUGGUUGUCAGCAUUGUCCACAUUUUCCUUUAAGUUGCAAUAUAGACCUGGCAAACAUAACCUCGAUGCAGAUGCCCUCUCACGACAUCCCAUGAAUACUAAAAUUGAUGACCCUUCUUCUCAGAAAGAACAAGACCGAAUUAGACAGUUUACGCUGCAACACUUACCAGAGCUUACCACUAAUGCAGAAGUGAGCACCGAAGUGGUCCAGGCAAUCUGCGAAGCUCGGUUAGUAUGCCAGCCAUCCUUGAGUGCAUCAGAAGUCGAACCCAUUCCCUUAGUCGGAUCCCUGUCUACUCAUCCUGAUUCUUUACCUGAUGCUUUUGUGUUGGGCGAACACUUUGAAGGGUUUCCAGUCAUCCCAAUGAUAACUGAAGUUGAGUUACAACAGAAACAGAGGUCAGACCCUGUUAUCAGAGAAGUAAUCUCAUCUUUUGAAAGGGGAGAGGUGCCAACCCCAUCUGCAAGAAGGGAGAUGCCAAAACUUUCUCUGAUGUGCCGAGAGUGGAAUCGGUUACAAAUGAAGGACGGAAUUUUGUACAGAAGAAGACAACUAGGACAAGAUGUCAAUUUCCAGCUAGUUCUACCAGAAGAACUAAGAGAGAUGGUAAUGAAGAGCCUCCAUGAUGACAUGGGCCACCUAGGGUUGGAGCGUACCCUAGAUCUUUUAAGAGCACGCUUUUAUUGGCCCCAAAUGGCAUCAGAUGUGGAGAGGAAGCUAAAGACAUGCAGUCGCUGUGUACUCAGGAAAGCACCAGCUGAAAGAGCCGCACCAUUAGUUAACAUCAAAGCAACAAGACCCCUAGAAUUGGUGUGUAUGGACUUCCUGUCAUUAGAACCAGAUCGCAGCAACACCAAAGACAUCCUGGUGAUCACAGAUUAUUUCACCAAAUAUGCUGUGGCAAUACCUACUCCCAAUCAGAAGGCCAGGACUGUGGCGAAGUGCUUAUGGGAGAACUUCAUAAUCCAUUAUGGUGUUCCUGAAAAGCUGCACAGUGACCAAGGUCCUGACUUUGAGUCCAAAACGAUCAAGGAGCUGUGUGAAGUCAUGGGAAUUCAUAAAGUAAGGACUACACCAUAUCAUCCACGUGGUAAUCCGGUGGAACGAUUCAAUCGGACACUACUGAGCAUGAUUGGGACUUUGCAAGAGAAAGAGAAGUCGUGUUGGCGAGAUUUUGUUAAGCCAUUAGUACAUGCUUAUAACUGUACGAAGCAUGACAGUACAGGGUUUAUCCCUUACGAACUUAUGUUCGGAAGGAAACCAAGACUGCCAAUCGACCUCGCUUUCAACAUCUCUGUGAACAAGCAACAUGAGAAGACUCACUCUCAGUAUGUGAGCCAUCUGAGAAAUCAACUGGAAGAGAGCUAUAGAUUGGCUACCGAGAAUGCUGCAAAAUCUGCUGAAAGAAACAAGGCACGAUUUGACAAAAGAGUCACUGAAUCAACCCUAGAGAAGGGUGAUCGUGUGUUAGUGAGGAAUGUGAAACUGAGGGGAAAACAUAAAUUGUCAGAUAAAUGGGAAUCUGUUGUGUAUGUUGUUGUGGGCAGAGCAGGAGAACUCCCAGUGUACACAGUAAAGCCUGAGAACAAGGCUGGGCCCCUACGUACAUUGCACAGAGAUUUGCUCCGACCGUGCAACUUUCUAUCACCAGAAGAAGCUGACCUUCCUAUUUCUAAGGUUAGGAGACCAAGAACAAGACAGAUGUCACCCAAAGAGAAUUCAGAAGAGUCUGAUUCUAACUCUGAUUCUGAUGACUACCCAAUCUACUAUUCUUCAGUUCCCUUAAGGCUUGAACCUGUUGAAAUUGUUCAGAUCCAUGAGGAUGAAAGAAUACCAGUUGACUCUAACUUCAGAAUCCAGCUUGAACCAGCUGUAAAGAACCCGUCUGCUGAACCUGAGAUUCCUGAAAGAGAAAACUUACCUGAGAAGAUCCCUGUAAAAGAAAACCUACCUGAAAGAUUAGCAGAAAAUGAAUACUUACCUACAGACCAUGUCGACGAUCCAGCUCUAAAUUCUGAAAUGCUGCAUUCUGCUACACCUGCUGAAGAGGUACCAGAAAAUGCAGAACACCUACAGCCUUCCACAGAGGAAUCUGAGGAUGAAGAAACUCCAGCAUCAGUGAGACGCUCCACAAGACACAGAGAAAAAGCCAAGAGACUAACCUAUCCAGAGCUAGGCAAUCCUCUGAUAUCCAUUGUCCAGUCCCUAUUCCAAGGUAUGACUACAGCCCUCACUCAGUCUCUUAUAGAAGCUGCCUCUAUGGAAUAUGCCAAUCCUGCUGUGAGACAUCCCACUAGUCCAAUGCACAGGGAUGUGCAUGCAGUUAAAGACGGGAGGGUGUAACCCAGGUCUUAAAUGGGUCACAAAGACAGAUAAAUUAGAUAACUGCAGAAAGUAAAUAAUGAAUAUAUAUUUUUAUUAUUUCUUUAAUUAUUCUGAAACAGUAUAAAUUAAUUAAUAGAAAAAAAGAAAACUCCCAAACAGUGUUUAAAAUGAAAAGGAAAUCGUUUUUAUUUAUUUUAGAUAAUAAAUGAAAUAAAACUUUUAGGCGCUAAACAGCAGCCAAUCAUAAUAAUCCUCUAAGAGACAGAGGCGGAGCCUGUUGGUUAGUGGACGUCAAUCCCUGGCUGUUUUACCCAGAAAGUUCUGCGGGAGGAGAAGAGACAGGUCAUGCAAGAAGUUCUCUGCUUAAAGUAUUAAAAAAAAUACUAGAAAACGCUAGAAUUCAGCGUUGUGGUUAGUGAGUAAAUCACUACCAAGCUGACCGCUGUUAGAGUUGAGGCUGCAGAGUGGAGAAAGGGGGAAAGGCUCACUUAUUGUGCCUCGUGAAACGUUGCCAGUUACACGCUCCGGUAAUCUCCAGGUGGAGGUAGAACCUGGUGUCCAUGUGCCCUGGGGUGGUGUGUGAAAACCUUGGAUAGGAUUCGGCCAGUUUUUUUGUUGGGUGAAAUGGAUUGGAAAUGGAUCUUCCCGAACACUCCUCGUGUCGUUCAGCUGCACACGGCCGGUGCAGUGCGCGGUGCUAGGAUGGCGAGCCAAGCCCGAGGACCCAAGUGACUUCAUUACACUUCAUUCACAUUUUCAAACACUUGAUAGUGAACAUUAAAGAAAAUUUGUGGACUUUAAGAUUAUUUGAGUAAAAAGGACACUUUUAUUUUAUUUUAUUUUUUUUUGAAAGAAAGGACACUCUACAAAGAUACUGAAAAGGGUUAAAUUUUAAUUGGUUGGAUUACUGUUAUUUGAUUUUGAUAAUUUCUAAGUGGUUUUGAUAUUCAUUUAUUGUUUUUGCUACAGAGAAUUGUUAUUUUUUAUUUCUGGUUGUUUGUUAAAGGGUAUACUAUUGGUGUAAAAUAACCUAGAGGUUUAAUUGGAUAACAGUAAUUAUAAUAAUACUUACCUUUAAUCAAUAAUCCAUUAGACCUAGAAGAAAGAAAUAAUUAAUUAGUUAUAAAAUACCUAUAAAUAGAUUAAAGUAAUAAAAUAAUACUUACCUUAAACUGCAUAAAUACCUCUAAAAUAGAGAACACAGGUGAUUAGAGAAAUAAUAGUAAUUAAUAUAAUAUUAAAUAUACAAAUACUGAAAUACAAAGGGUAUACUUACCAUUUUCAUUGUUGACCAAGGUUAUUGAAGGGUGAAUUCUUUUGGAAACUGAGUAACUGAAUUGUUUUUUAUUUAUUUAUUUACAGAAUUUAUUUUGUUACAUUGUUUUAUUUACCUACUGGCAUUGAUUGACAUUUUAAUACACUUUAUUGCUGCACAAA